rnacentral:rRNA from 1 species
UACGUAGGGAGCAAGCGUUAUCCGGAUUUACUGGGUGUAAAGGGCGCGCAGGCGGACUGGCAAGUCAGAAGUGAAAUCUGAGGGCUCAACCCUCAAACUGCUUUUGAAACUACUGGUCUUGAGUGAUGGAGAGGCAGGCGGAAUUCCCAGUGUUGCGGUGAAAUGCGUAGAUAUUGGGAGGAACACCAGAGGCGAAGGCGGCCUGCUGGACAUUAACUGACGCUGAGGCGCGAAAGCGUGGGGAGCAAACAGG